rnacentral:rRNA from 1 species
GAUGAACGCUGGCGGCGUGCCUAAUACAUGCAAGUCGAGCGAACAGACGAAGAUCUUUCUCCUCUGAAGUUAGCGGCGGACGGGUGAGUAACACGUGGAUAACCGAUCGAGAGGACUGGGAUAAGGUCGGGGAACCUGAGCUAAUACAGGAUAAUAUAGUGAAAGGGAUGGUUCAAUAGUGAAAAAGGGUUUUGCUGUCACUUAUAGGUGGAUGCUAGCCGGAUUAGCUAGUUGGUAAGGUAACGGCUUACCAAGGCGACGAUGCGUAGCCGAUCUGAGAGGGUGAUCAGCCACACUGGAACUGAGACACGGUCCAGACUCCUACGGGAGGCAGCAGUAGGGAAUCUUCCACAAUGGGCGAAAGCCUGACGGAGCAACGCCGCGUGAGUGAUGAAGGUCUUCGGAUCGUAAAACUCUGUUAUUAGGGAAGAACAAAUGUGUAAGUAACUAUGCACGUCUUGACGGUACCUACUCAGAAAGCAACGGCUAACUACGUG